CGUCACCUGCGCUUCCGCUGGGGUCCCGGGGGUCCCGGGGGUCCCGAGUGGGGGCGGGGCGGUGGCGAGCCUUCCCAGGGGUGAGGUAGAACGGCGCCGCGUGUCACCCGCAUCGAGUACUCGGCGCCCGGCCGAGCCCAGCUCGCGAGGGCGCCGGGAAGAGGGAGGAGUGGAGCCCUAGACCCGCGUUCCCAUUCCGGGGCGUCCCCCGGAGCGGGAGCCCGGGUUGCGCGGUGGCAGAUGUCCCGGCCGUGGGGCCUGGAAGCGAUUUUUGCCGAGUCACUCACUGCACUUUUACUUGGGCACCUUGUGACCGCGAAUCAAUUAAAUGUAAAAGUAUUGGCUGGGCGCGGUGGCUCACGCCUGUAAAUCCCAGCACUGUGGGAUGCCGAGGCGGGUGGAUCACGAGGUCAAGAGAUCAAGACCAUCCUGGCUAAAACGGUGAAACCCCGUCUGUACUAAAAAAAUACAAAAAAAUUUAGCCGGGCGUGGUGGCGGGCGCCUGUAGUCCCAGCUACUCGGGAGGCUGAGGCAGGAGAAUGGCGUGAACCUGGGAGGCAGAGCUUGCAGUGAGCCGAGAUCGCGCUACUGCACUCCAGCCUGGGAGACAGAGCGAGACUCCAUAUCAAAAAAAAAAAAAAAAAGUAUUUAUUGAGCCUCUGCUGCGUGGGGGACCGUGAGGAUCCGAAGGUGCACACGACUCGGAGUUUGCGGGAGCAGCCCACGGCGUGGGGUCCCCAGGCCUGGGCAGGUGGAGGGCGCAGCCAGGAGGCUGUUGGUGCCAGGCGUGCAGAGUGCGGAAGUGGGGCGCUCCCGCAGAGGCUGCGCGGGACCCCUUGGUGCAAGGCCACGGCUUUGGCUUUUUAUGGAGAAGAGGGGCGGAGGCGGUGCAGGCAGUGGCAGCAGGUUCUGGAGGACACGUGCCGGCGGCAGGACUUCAACCCCUGUGAAUAUGAUCUGAAGUUUCAGAGGAGCGUGCUCGACCUUUCUCUCCAGUGGAGAUUUGCCAACCUGCCCAACAAUGCCAAGCUGGAG
rnacentral:lncRNA from 10 species